GGAAGACCAGAGGCAGGGGAAAGCAGAAAAGGAUACAGGGCUCUCUGCCUCCCCCAUGGACUAACAAAUAUGGAAGCCAGGGCAGUGCCGGGCAUGUGAUGUUGUCAGCAGAUCGUGGCAAGAUGGGUUCUCCAGGGACAGAAGCUGAGGUGGCAUUUUGGGUGAAAAUCAUCCAUUAGCAGGCAGAAGAGACAAAACAAGAGGAUGACCAGCUUCAUUUGAAUUGAACUUGGUGGCCAGGGGAGGGGGGGUAAGAGCUUGGGGCUAAGAAAGAGGCCACUUACAUCCAGACUGUCCUUGCCAAGGGGAGACAACUGUGGGUGCCCCAGUAAGGCCCAAACUCCUUGGAAUGCAGAGUUCUUGCCUCUGAGAAGGACAGUGUUUGCCUAUAUCAGAGAUUUUUAAACUUGUGUAUUUUAUGGCACAGCGUUCUUUAUUCAAGACUGAUUUGGAAAAAAAAGAAGAGGAAGAAGAAGAAGAAGACAGAAGGAAACUUCUGUUGUUGAACUUGGAAAGGAGAUCUUUGAAAAAUAACAGCCUAAGGAAUUGCUCAAGUCCCUGACUGAAAUACCCAAGGGCGCCCCUGUUUUAUGCCCUGCACUCCCCACCCGAACAGAUAGAUGAUAUUUUGUCUGCCAUGUGGCCUAGAUCCAACUGUAUUUUGAAAGGACAUUUCCUUCCCCACAACAGGCAGAGGGGGUGGUGGUGGUGAGUGUUAAAGUUGUGAAGUGAUAUUCAAA